rnacentral:rRNA from 1 species
GGAUGAACGCUGGCGGCGUGCUUAACACAUGCAAGUCGAACGAAGCGAUUGGAAGGAAGUUUUCGGAUGGAAUUCUGAUUGACUGAGUGGCGGACGGGUGAGUAACGCGUGGGUAACCUGCCUCAUACAGGGGGAUAACAGUUAGAAAUGACUGCUAAUACCGCAUAAGCGCACAGGAUUGCAUGAUCCGGUGUGAAAAACUCCGGUGGUAUGAGAUGGACCCGCGUCUGAUUAGCUGGUUGGUGGGGUAACGGCCCACCAAGGCGACGAUCAGUAGCCGACCUGAGAGGGUGACCGGCCACAUUGGGACUGAGACACGGCCCAAACUCCUACGGGAGGCAGCAGUGGGGAAUAUUGCACAAUGGGGGAAACCCUGAUGCAGCAACGCCGCGUGAGUGAAGAAGUAUUUCGGUAUGUAAAGCUCUAUCAGCAGGGAAGAAAAUGACGGUACCUGAGUAAGAAGCCCCGGCUAACUACGUGCCAGCAGCCGCGGUAA